rnacentral:rRNA from 1 species
AUGCAAUCAAUGUGUGUGAGAAAGAUCGACAGAUCUGCAGAACUUGCAAGUGAAAUGCCAAUGCAAACUGGUCUUAUAUUGUCAGAGAGAACAGAAAUCAUGAGCAGCAAAUGCUGCAUGCAAGCAUGUGCAAUUGACUAUCUACAAAAGAGAGCACUGCGAUUUUGGUGGAUAUUUGAGCACAGUUGGAGUUGUAGCCUUCUGCCGGAAUAUGUUUUGUAUAGCAAAUAUGAUCAUCCCCAGAAAUGGAACUUUGAUGAGAAUGAUUUUAGCAAGGAGAGAUACCUUUGGACAUGUUGA